rnacentral:rRNA from 1 species
AGUUUNAUCCUGGCUCAGAGUGAACGCUGNCGGUAGGCCUAACACAUCAAGUCGAACGGCAGCACAGUAGAGCUUGCUCUUCGGGUGGCGAGUGCGGACGGGUGAGGAAUGCAUCGGAAUCUACUCUGUCGUGGGGGAUAACGUAGGGAAACUUACGCUAAUACCGCAUACGACCUACGGGUGAAAGCAGGGGAUCUUCGGACCUUGCGCGAUUGAAUGAGCCGAUGCCCGAUUAGCUAGUUGGCGGGGUAAGAGCCCACCAAGGCGACGAUCGGUAGCUGGUCUGAGAGGAUGAUCAGCCACACUGGAACUGAGACACGGUCCAGACUCCUACGGGAGGCAGCAGUGGGGAAUAUUGGACAAUGGGCGCAAGCCUGAUCCAGCCAUACCGCGUGGGUGAAGAAGGCCUUCGGGUUGUAAAGCCCUUUUGUUGGGAAAGAAAAGCAGUCGGUUAAUACCCGAUUGUUCUGACGGUACCCAAAGAAUAAGCACCGGCUAACUUCGUGCCAGCAGCCGCGGUAAUACGAAGGGUGCAAGCGUUACUCGGAAUUACUGGGCGUAAAGCGUGCGUAGGUGGUUGUUUAAGUCUGUCGUGAAAGCCCUGGGCUCAACCUGGGAAUUGCGAUGGAAACUGGGCGACUAGAGUGUGGCAGAGGGUAGUGGAAUUCCUGGUGUAGCAGUGAAAUGCGUAGAGAUCAGGAGGAACAUCCGUGGCGAAGGCGACUGCCUGGGCCAACACUGACACUGAGGCACGAAAGCGUGGGACAACAGAUC